AGCAGCCGCGGUAAUUCCAGCUCCAAUAGCGUAUAUUAAAGUUGUUGCAGUUAAAAAGCUCGUAGUUGAAUUUCGGGAUCAAUACGUCGGUCGUGCUUCGGUACGUACUGGCGUAAUUGAUUUCUCCCUUCUGACGAACCAUGAUGUCAUUAACUUGGUGUCAUGGGAAAUCAGGACUGUUACUUUGAAAAAAUUAGAGUGUUUAAAGCAGGCUCACGCUUGAAUACAUUAGCAUGGAAUAAUGAAAUAGGACGUUCGAUCCUAUUUUGUUGGUUUUUAGGAUCAACGUAAUGAUUAAUAGGGAUAGUUGGGGGCAUUAGUAUUCAAUUGUCAGAGGUGAAAUUCUUGGAUUUAUUGAAGACUAACUACUGCGAAAGCAUUUGCCAAGGAUGUUUUCAUUAAUCAAGAACGAAAGUUAGGGGAUCGAAGACGAUCAGAUACCGUCGUAGUCUUAACCAUAAACUACGCCGACUAGGGAUCGGAUGAUGUUAAUUUUUAAUGACUCAUUCGGCGCCUUACG
rnacentral:rRNA from 1 species